UCGGGAAUUUUGGGCAAUGGGCGAAAGCCUGACCCAGCAACGCCGCGUGAAGGAUGAAGUAUUUCGGUAUGUAAACUUCGUAAGAAUAGGAAGAAUAAAUGACGGUACUAUUUGUAAGGUCCGGCUAACUACGUGCCAGCAGCCGCGGUAAUACGUAGGGACCAAGCGUUGUUCGGAUUUACUGGGCGUAAAGGGCGCGUAGGCGGUGUGUCAAGUCAGUUGCGAAAUCUCCGAGCUUAACUCGGAACGGUCAACUGAUACUGUCACACUAGAGUACAGAAGGGGCAAUCGGAAUUCUUGGUGUAGCGGUGAAAUGCGUAGAUAUCAAGAGGAACACCUGAGGCGAAGGCGGGUUGCUGGGCUGAUACUGACGCUGAGGCGCGAAAGCUAGGGUAGCAAACGGGAUUAGAUACCCGAGUAGUCCCUGAGCGGGCUGGCAAGGCGCAU
rnacentral:rRNA from 1 species